CCUACGGGUGGCAGCAGUGAGGAAUAUUGGUCAAUGGACGAGAGUCUGAACCAGCCAAGUAGCGUGAAGGAUGACUGCCCUAUGGGUUGUAAACUUCUUUUAUAUGGGAAUAAAAUGUUCCACGUGUGGGAUUUUGUAUGUACCAUAUGAAUAAGGAUCGGCUAACUCCGUGCCAGCAGCCGCGGUAAUACGGAGGAUCCGAGGGUUAUCCGGAUUUAUUGGGUUUAAAGGGAGCGUAGGUGGAUUGUUAAGUCAGUUGUGAAAGUUUGCGGCUCAACCGUAAAAUUGCAGUUGAAACUGGCAGUCUUGAGUACAGUAGAGGUGGGCGGAAUUCGUGGUGUAGCGGUGAAAUGCUUAGAUAUCACGAAGAACUCCGAUUGCGAAGGCAGUUCACUGGACUGCAACUGACACUGAGGCUCGAAAGUGUGGGUAUCAAACAGGAUUAGAUACCCUUGUAGUC
rnacentral:rRNA from 1 species